GACGAACGCUGGCGGCGUGCUUAACACAUGCAAGUCGAACGGAAAGGCCCUGCUUUUGUGGGGUGCUCGAUUGGCGAACGGGUGAGUAACACGUGAGUAACCUGCCCUUGACUUUGGGAUAACUUCAGGAAACUGGGGCUAAUACCGGAUAGGAGCUCCUGCUGCAUGUUGGGGGUUGGAAAGUUUCGGCGGUUGGGGAUGGACUCGCGGCUUAUCAGCUUGUUGGUGGGGUAGUGGCUUACCAAGGCUUUGACGGGUAGCCGGCCUGAGAGGGUGACCGGCCACAUUGGGACUGAGAUACGGCCCAGAAUGCUACGGGAGGCAGUAGGGGGGAAUAUUACACAAUGGGCGGAAGCCUGAUGCAGCAGCGCCGCGUGCGGGAUGACGGCCUUCGGGUUGUAAACCGCUUUCGCCUGUGCCGAAGCGUGAGUGACGGUAAUGGGUAAAGAAGCACCGGCUAACUACGUG
rnacentral:rRNA from 1 species